CACCCGACACACCAAACUUUUAUUUCUAACACAGAUAAUAAAAAUAAAAGUUUGGAGUGUCGGGUGUUA